rnacentral:rRNA from 1 species
GACGAACCGUGCGAACGUUAUUCGGAAUCACUGGGCUUAAAGCGCGUGUAGGCGGCCCGGCACGUCAUCGGCUGAAAUCCCCCGGCUCAACCGGGGAAGGGGCCGUGAUACGACCGGGCUGGAGGGGGGUAGGGGGGACGGGAACUCACGGUGGAGCGGUGAAAUGCGUUGAGAUCGUGAGGAACGCCCGUGGCGAAAGCGGGUCUCUGGACAGUUCCUGACACUGAGGCACGAAGGCCAGGGGAGCAAACGGG